GACGAACGCUGGCGGCGUGCCUAAUACAUGCAAGUAGAACGCUGAAGGAGGAGCUUGCUUCUCUGGAUGAGUUGCGAACGGGUGAGUAACGCGUAGGUAACCUGCCUGGUAGCGGGGGAUAACUAUUGGAAACGAUAGCUAAUACCGCAUAAGAGUAGAUGUCGCAUGACAUUUGCUUAAAAGGUGCAAUUGCAUCACUACCAGAUGGACCUGCGCUGUAUUAGCUAGUUGGUGAGGUAACGGCUCACCAAGGCAACGAUACAUAGCCGACCUGAGAGGGUGAUCGGCCACACUGGGACUGAGACACGGCCCAGACUCCUACGGGAGGCAGCAGUAGGGAAUCUUCGGCAAUGGACGGAAGUCUGACCGAGCAACGCCGCGUGAGUGAAGAAGGUUUUCGGAUCGUAAAGCUCGGUUGUAAGAGAAGAACGAGUGUGAGAGUGGAAAGUUCACACUGUGACGGUAUCUUACCAGAAAGAGACGGCUAACUACGUG
rnacentral:rRNA from 1 species